rnacentral:tRNA from 1 species
GGUGGGGUGGCUGAGUUUGGUUGAAAGCGCCGCACUCGAAAUGCGGUAUCCUCGUAAGAGGAUCGUGAGUUCGAAUCUCACCCCCACCG